rnacentral:lncRNA from 1 species
CUCAACCCUUCCCCUAAAUUAUCAUCUUAAACCUCUCCAAAUGAUUCAGAUCAACGCUGGACCAAUCCCNUGCCCUAUUUGAACCUGAACUACGUCUACAAGUUCAAACCCUGGUUCUUCCUGCUCUCUUCUGCCAUUUUUUCCUCAGGCAGACUACCAUAGAAAGCAGUGAAAGUUUGUGGGAUAAGCACAGAGAGAAAAUCAAAGCAACUGGGCGGGAAACGAACCUGCGGAUGAUACCUAUCAAUUACUUCGUCAAGCUUGCUAAGUUGUUCUCCCAAAAACAUACUGAACAGGAGGAGAAACCUGAGACAGAAGAGCCUCCGAAAAAGGAACCAAUGUUUGCCAGAUUGUUCUCCAGAAGCCCAAGCAGCACACACAGAAGAAAAGUCUCGGCGGCAGGACCACCUCCCACCGAUAAUUUUGGUCCAAGGUACAGAAGCCAGAUGUUUCCAAAAAUCGAGGAUGGGAGUAAAGAACCUGUAGACAUCCAGGCACUGUUUUAAUCGAAC